rnacentral:piRNA from 1 species
GAUCAGUUGCUAUGCUGUGUGGGAAGUAG